GCCCGGAUUUUAAAAGUCUUAAUGACUAUCAAAAUUGAUAGAAAAAAGCCUUUGAUAGAGUCAGUUGAACAUUUGCUAUAGCUAUUUUAUACAUUCUGAGUUUCAUCUUAUUAAUUGGGUCUAAGCAUGCAUCUUACACCCUUUAUUUGCUCUUCUUAUUAAUGGAUCUCCUUCAUCCUGGUUCAAUCCAACUAGAGGCCUACAUUA
rnacentral:lncRNA from 1 species